CAACCAGAGGAGAGGGUGGACUCAUGUCCAAAGACCAACUCCCCCUGCCAAUCAGUGGGGAAGAGCUUUUAAAGGGGAGUUUCAGGGAUGUCUAGGUGGAAGGAGGGGGCUACAUGUAGAACAACUUAUUUAGCUCAGACAAUCACCUUGAAAUUAAUCAUGUGGUAGUCUGAUCAGUAUCAUGUUGAUUGUUUUAAAAACAGUUAAUCUUUAGUUCCAAAAACCCGGAAUCAGUUUGUUCCCAUUUCCUUGAGGCUGGUUCUCAGAAUUGUGGCAACUUAUAUCAUGACUACCCUCUGGUCAUUACGUAGCUAACUUCUCCCACCUGGUGGGGAUUUCAGUAUCUACAAAACAGCUCAAAAGAUAUGGCUCAGAAUAUUAUCGAUAGCCCUUGAGGAGGAACUAAAUGUCCUUAAUUUGCUUAAUAACUAAACUAUUAUUAUUUUGUCCUGUUUGACUAUUUUUCCUUUGUUUCUGCAUUUUCUCAUUUCUCUGAUUAAAUGUAUUCUUUGGCUAAAGUUUUUCUAUUGACAAAAGGCGGGCAGAGAACCUUGAGGGGGUCUAUCCUGGGAAGGUUCCAUAGGGUCCUGCUCCAUUUCACAGACAGUAUAUUUUUAAAUAGAUCCUAGAAAUAAAUGCCCAAAUAUUGUCCAAUGAGUGAGGCAACUCAACUGCUGCUAUUUAACCACAAGCAUGGUUUUUAAUGAAGACGACUAAUUCAAGAUGUCCAAGGCAAAUGUGCUGUUCUGCAUUGAUUGAUAUUUCUGUUGCUGAAGGAGUGAUAUUCUAUUUCCAGCAGAGUUUUUCUUACUGUGAGCCCCAAUGAAACCUCAGGAAUGUUAAAUCCCAGUAUUACUACCCAUACUGGAGGGGGAAUUGAUUUUUUUGGGAGUCAACAAAAAUUUUAUACAUCUUUGAGAGAAAAAAAAAUCAUAGGACUUAGUUAUGAUUAACGGAAAAGGCUCUGUAUGGCACUAUGAGGAAUAAUUAAGCUAUAAAUUUCAUCUUUGUUUGCAAAAUGAAUAACACCUUUUAAAAAAAUAUGAUCCACUCUUUUUCCCCAACUUUAUCUGUCUAAGUAAAUAUAAUUAGGUAACAGAUGAUGGUUUGUUAGCAUUUUAUUUCUUGUGUUUGCAAGGGCAUUAACAGUGAUCAUAAAGCUCACAACAAAUAUGGUCGAUUUUUGAUUUUUCAGAGGUGAGAACGUGACUUUUGAGAAUCAGAUAGGCCAGAAGCAGGCAUUCUUGCAAAUUAAAUCUUCCUGUAUUCUGAAUAGGAUCAGAGAGACUUUUGUCUUAGCUGAUUUGCAUGCACUAAUUGCUAACUCUGAGUAAAUGUGGAGUGAUCACCUACACAAUUACAUUCAUAAAUUAAUAUUUUUACUUCACAGUUAUUUACACACAGGAAGAAACAGUACAAAUAAUUUUAAGGCUGUGUCUACACUUAUAUAAUGAAGUGGUUAAUUAAAGUAAUGAGCUAGUUAAUGACAAGCCUAGAAAUUUUUCAUGAAAUAUCCAUAUAAGGGAGGAAGAAAUGUCUUUGCCUGAAUAAUUUUCAUAAUUGCCUCAACAUUUGAUUUCACUUUCUAUGCACAGAGACAUGCCUCAAAUGAUAACUCUGGUUAUGAAUCUAAAUUAUCUUUUGACUUCUUGUGGGUGGUCUAGAUCCCAGGGCUAACUGCCAAAGUAACAAGAUUAAACCAGAGCUGUCAUACACAGAAAGAAAACAGCCCCGUCCCCAAAAAUUACACUGGACACAGGCUGAUUCAGGCAAGUAGGUCGCACUGAAUAUAUGGAAACAGAAGCUAACCUGUGUCUAGAGUAAAUCAGCCAUUGACUGUUAAUACCAGGGAGCUCCUUUAUCAGACUGAUCCAUCCCAAUUUUAGAGGGCCCAUCAUUUUGAGAUCUCUGAUCCUUUGGUCCAAUAUAUCUCUGGAGACCUAUUGAUUGGAGACCAAAUUUCCCUUUUGCUUCACAUCUGCAGUUGAGGAACCUGCAGCAAACCCUAAUCAUUUGGGUUUGGACAACCACUUCACUUAUUUGGGGAAAAAAAAAUCUAUUUCAGCAAAGGGUCUUGCAUCUACCCAGAUCCCCAAAACAGAACCCUAGUGGUCAUCCUUGAUUCUUUGCUUUCCCUUGUGUUGGUAUGAGCCACCAUCAUCUCUGAUCAUGGCAACAACCUCUGCCCUGGUCUCCUUUCUUCCACUCUUGACCCCCUCAACCACACCCUGACCCCCAAAGCCUAUUCUCAAUGCAGCAUCCAGCAUAAUUUUUUAAAAUGUGCAUCAUAUUUAUCCAUCCUCUACUCAGAACCUUGUGAUGGCUGGGGCUGAAGCUAUAUGACAUGCUCUGGGUCUGGAAGCAUAUAGAGGAGGUCAGUAGAUCAGUUUCUGUGGGAUAACUUGGAGUAAGUUUUGCUUGAAAAGAUGGGGAAUUAAACCCCUCUCACUACUUGAAGCCAUGGCUAGGGGUGGAACUCCUCUGUCAAGUUCAAGGAUGCUUUGGCCCAGGAAUAUGAUUUAUGAGAAAAUCAGCAUCUAGAGAGGUGAAAGGACAUGGAUACAGCCUCUUGACCCUGACCUGAUCCAAUAUUGCCUUGGAUAUUAAUAAGGUCCCCUAGCUUGGGAGCCAAGAGCAGUUAACUGCAGUGAGUUUUAGCCUGAGGCCUCUAGAGGAGAUCAUGUGAAGGCAACUGUAAAACCAUUAGAUAGCAGGAGGUAAGCCCCCCAAUAAAGAUGGAAAAAUAAAAACCUCCCACCUUAGAGUCUGAAGACCUAAAUUCUAAAGCAUGAGAAGGAAACUAAUUCUAAGAAGGGGAAACAAAACUGGUCAAAAAGCAAAUUUACUUAAGAUGAAAGAAAAUAAUUUUUAAAAAUCUAAUAAAUAUAGUUUAUUUCCACAAAGAAAUAUAAUGUACUUUGGAAUUUAAAAAAAAUUAUAGAAUAAGUAAAAAUAAAAAAAAAUUCAUGGCUAAUAAAGCAAAUGAAUUAGAAAGGUUCAAAUGAAAUAUUACACUGAUUGGACUUUUAAAAAAAUCAGUAGAGGGGCCAAACUCUAGAUAAAAGAUUUGAAGAGAAAAUUACUGAACUGGAAGAUAAAACUGGGGGAUUCUCUCAGCAUACAGCAUUUAAAUCCAAAUACAUAAAAAUACAAAAGAAUAGUUAAUAUACGUGGAUUAUAAAUUAUUUUGGAUAUAAUUCCAUUAAGAGCUCCAGGGGAAAAGAAUGAGAAGAAUAC
rnacentral:lncRNA from 1 species